CCUACGGGAGGCAGCAGUGGGGAAUAUUGCACAAUGGGGGAAACCCUGAUGCAGCGACGCCGCGUGAGUGAAGAAGUAAUUCGUUAUGUAAAGCUCUAUCAGCAGGGAAGAAAAUGACGGUACCUGAGUAAGAAGCCCCGGCUAACUACGUGCCAGCAGCCGCGGUAAUACGUAGGGGGCAAGCGUUAUCCGGAUUUACUGGGUGUAAAGGGAGCGUAGACGGCAGUGCAAGUCUGUAGUGAAAGGCGGGGGCUCAACCCCCGGACUGCUCUGGAAACUGUACGGCUGGAGUGCAGGAGAGGUAAGUGGAAUUCCUAGGGGAGCGGUGAAAUGCGGAGAGAUUAGGAGGAACACCAGUGGCGAAGGCGGCUUACUGGACUGUAACUGACGUUGAGGCUCGAAAGCGUGGGGAGCAAACAGGAUUAGAUACCCCGGUAGUC
rnacentral:rRNA from 1 species